GACGAACGCUGGCGGCGUGCUUAACACAUGCAAGUCGAGCGGUAAGGCCCUUUCGGGGGUACACGAGCGGCGAACGGGUGAGUAACACGUGGGUGACCUGCCCUUAGCUCUGGGAUAAGCCUGGAAAACUGGGUCUAAUACCGGAUAUGACUCCAUGACGCAUGUUGUGGGGUGGAAAGCCUUGUGCGGCUAGGGAUGGGCCCGCGGCCUAUCAGCUUGUUGGUGGGGUGAUGGCCUACCAAGGCGACGACGGGUAGCCGGCCUGAGAGGGCGACCGGCCACACUGGGACUGAGACACGGCCCAGACUCCUACGGGAGGCAGCAGUGGGGAAUAUUGCACAAUGGGCGAAAGCCUGAUGCAGCGACGCCGCGUGAGGGAUGACGGCCUGGUGU
rnacentral:rRNA from 1 species